CGGCGGACGGGUGAGUAAUGCCUAGGAAUCUGCCUGGUAGUGGGGGACAACGUUUCGAAAGGAACGCUAAUACCGCAUACGUCCUACGGGAGAAAGCAGGGACCUUCGGGCCUUGCGCUAUCAGAUGAGCCUAGGUCGGAUUAGCUAGUUGGUGAGGUAAUGGCUCACCAAGGCGACGAUCCGUAACUGGUCUGAGAGGAUGAUCAGUCACACUGGAACUGAGACACGGUCCAGACUCCUACGGGGGCAGCAGGA
rnacentral:rRNA from 1 species